AAAUCAGUGGCCUAAACCUGGUUUAAACCAUGGACUAUCUUUUUUCCUAUUCUCGAAGGUGGCCUAAAGAUAAGCCAGGCUUAAAUACGUCAUAGUUCGGCCUAACUUUAGGCCGCUCAGAGGGCAGGUUUAAAUACGUCAUAGUUCGGCCUAACUUCACGUGACGUCACUUUUUAGUUAAAUCGACUGUCCGCGGAGAGUGAACGGUUCUUUUCAAUUGAUGCAUGGGGAUGAAAAAAGAAGGCCUCUCCCAAGCUACGGUGUCCCGCCUUGUGAAGUCCAUCUCAAUAGCCAUUGCCAGGAGAUGGGAGCAAUACAUCUCAAUUCCUUCAACAAGAGAGGCAGUCCUGCAGAGUGCAGACCCAACAUGAAUUUUAUAAUUACUGCCAUUUCCCUGGCGUUAAUAUCGUCGGUGCUAUUGAUUGCACCCACAUAGGCGUCUCCAAGCCAGUUGGCCAAACACCAGUUAUUUCCUGAACAGGAAAAAUAGAUACUCCAUUUUUCUUGGAAAGUCUGCUGGAUGAUGUUUUUCUUCAGUAAAAUAAAUGAAAUCAAAUUCCCUGAUAACUGAGACAAAUUCAGAGAGAGGAAGGAGAACUACUGAGCUGCUGAAUAUCUGACAGGUAGGCUGUACGAAUAAGUUGUUGUUUGUAUGCCCAGGUACUUCAAGGAUGGCAUUUGUUCAUUCACAUUUUUCAAUCAAUACUUUCAUGUAAUUGAUUAUGUACUCCACUUUUACCACAAUGUACAUGCAAGACCUUUUUAAUGUUUAACAGAAAUAGGUUUCAAUGUGCUUCCUUUCAUUCUUUUCUCUUUUCAUUCAACAGACAUACUUGCAAGGACUAUGAAGUUCUACUUAGCCUCUUCAAUGAACCAGACUCCAUCUGCUGUAACUGUGACUGCAUGGGGAUCAAAACCUUUGUAUUAUAAUCCUCAUAACAUGAAGCUAUGGUAACAAACAAGCAACCAUUGAUAAAAAGCCUGAUAUGUCCUUGUUGUGUAUGUGAACCACAAAGCAACCAUCACUUAUAAGGAUGUUUUUAUGUACAUCAGAUGUUCAUUGUUUCACUGGAAAAAUUGUGAUUUAGAAUCAUUUAAGAAAUCAUGUUUCAUGAUGUGUUUUAUAAUAUAGUGCAAGUCAUGAAACACGGCUCAAAAGUAGACUAUGCUUUGUUUUAACAAAAAUGGGAAAAAGUAAUGAAACAAAUACAUAACAUUUAAUUCUAAUAGUUUCAAGUAGCAGAUUAUGAGGCUAUUGGAGCUUUAUA